rnacentral:rRNA from 1 species
UGGGGAAUUUUGGACAAUGGGCGAAAGCCUGAUCCAGCAAUGCCGCGUGUGUGAAGAAGGCCUUCGGGUUGUAAAGCACUUUUGUCCGGAAAGAAAUCCUUGGCUCUAAUACAGUCGGGGGAUGACGGUACCGGAAGAAUAAGCACCGGCUAACUACGUGCCAGCAGCCGCGGUAAUACGUAGGGUGCAAGCGUUAAUCGGAAUUACUGGGCGUAAAGCGUGCGCAGGCGGUUUGCUAAGACCGAUGUGAAAUCCCCGGGCUCAACCUGGGAACUGCAUUGGUGACUGGCAGGCUAGAGUAUGGCAGAGGGGGGUAGAAUUCCACGUGUAGCAGUGAAAUGCGUAGAGAUGUGGAGGAAUACCGAUGGCGAAGGCAGCCCCCUGGGCCAAUACUGACGCUCAUGCACGAAAGCGUGGGGAGCAAACAGGAUUAGAUACCCUGGUAGUCCACGCCCUAAACGAUGUCAACUAGUUGUUGGGGAUUCAUUUCCUUAGUAACGUAGCUAACGCGUGAAGUUGACCGCCUGGGGGAGUACGGUCGCAAGAUUAAAACUUAAAUGAAUUGACGGGGU